AGAAGGCCGACUGCGGAAUAGCACUGGCGCCGUUCUUCCGAGCUACGGAAGGUGCAGCCCGCUAGGCCGCGAAGCCGGGGCCUCGCGUACUGACGCCCGCGAGCAAAGGCGCGGCAGGGCGGCCAGAUCGGUGCACAUACCAAAUCUGGAACUUGAGCAGCGGCCCCGUGGCGUACUGCAUCUUCAGUCUCUUGCUAGGCACGCCGCCCAGAUUGCCCGACGCCUCGCUCCUGACCACUGCCGACGCCGCCAUCAGAAGCAGCAGCAAAAGCCUCAUCUUAAAUGAGACAGCCACUUCGGCCGCCUUCUCUCUGAGACUGCAGCCAGCCCAAAGCCUAGGCGCGAGCUGCUCCCCACUGCGCAGGCGCGAUCCGCCAAGGUCGCGAGGAAGCAGGAAUGCGACUGCGCGGCUCCGCUUGCGCACACUCGGGGAAGGAGAGCUGACCUGUUUUCUCCGUCCUGGCCCGCCUCCAUAUUGCCAGUGUGCAGAGGCGGGAGGGAAAGGAAGAGGGAAGUGGAAAGGGAGCAAAGAAGCUAGUGAGGAUUUCAGUGGCAGGACAAGAAAGUGGCACAAGCAACAAAUCCAAGACAACGUAAAAAAAGGUCCAGUAGUCUAAAACCUGAAAACCCUAAAAAACAAAGUAUUUGGUUUCCGUCACUUCCCUGACAUUCCAGGGGUGGAGUAAGGGGAGGAGCUGGCGAGGGCCUCCCAGUGGAGCACUCAAAAGGGAAGCAGUGGGGUCUGAAGCAGCAACUCCCAUAGAGCACUAGCUGUGGAACUGCAUAGCCCUUCUGCUAUACAUAAAGAACACAUGGUUGCAGCAUUUCCUGUCCUGAGUACUGCAAGCUGCUUUCCAAAGACUGUUCUCAGCUUCAGAUGAUCCCGGGCCUCAACAUUCUAAAGAAUGAAAGAAAGUACCACCCCUAGAAGAGAAAGAAAAUAUUUCCUCUGAAAUUGUGGACGUCUCAUGGCAUCCUUCCAUCACUAACAGUACACCUGCCUCACAGGGCCAGCCAUGGGUAGGCAGUCAGCGUCCAUUCCGGAGGCCGCUGUGGAGUCUUCACAACUUUGGCAACUUCAGGGCUGAGCUGUCCGGCAGUGGUAAUCUUAUUGUGGGAGCCUAUGAGUGACCACUGACCUGAUGGAGGGUUAGUCUCGGCAGGAGGAUGGCUAUUAAUGGGUUGUUUUUAGGUGAAAGCUGAAGAAACCACAAAUAAAAUCCUCACCUUAAAACUUAACUUUAAAAAGAAAAUCUUUUUUCAUCUUUUUGGAUUGCAGCAAAUAUUAGACUUUCUGAUUUAAAUUUCACUUGGGACUUAUGCAUACUGUAUUUUAUUUGAUGGAGGUAGUAUUAAAAAUAUAUUCAAUUUAGCAUUAAAGAAGUGGCAUAACAGUUUGUCUGAAGUAGGAUGGUAGCCCGUGAUUUCAUUAAUCUUCUGAGUAAGAAAUGUUUAAAAUGGUUCAACCUAUCCCACAAGCCAGGUGUAGUGGUGCACCCAUGUAAUCCCAGCACUCUGAGAGUCUGAGGCAGGAUAGCAAGCUCAAACUCAGUCUGGACAAUUUAGUGAGACCCUGUCUCAAAAAAUAAAUUAAAUUUUAAAUUUAAAAAA
ensembl:lncRNA